GUAGUCCACGCCGUAAACGAUGAGAACUAGCUCUUGGGGGUAUUGACUCCCUCAGGGACGAAGCUAACGCAUUAAGUUCUCCGCCUGGGAAGUACGGUCGCAAGACUAAAACUCAAAGAAAUUGACGGGGGCCCGCACAAGCGGUGGAUUAUGUGGUUUAAUUCGAAGCAACGCGCAGAACCUUACCUAGCCUUGAAAUCCUACGAAUCCGAUGUAAUGGUUGGAGUGCCCGCAAGGGAAUGUAGAGACAGGUGCUGCAUGGCUGUCGUCAGCUCGUGUUGUGAAAUGUUGGGUUAAGUCUCGCAACGAGCGCAACCCCUAUCUUUAGUUGCCAGCAUUAAGUUGGGCACUCUAGAGAGACUGCCUGGGUUAACCAGGA
rnacentral:rRNA from 1 species